UAGGUUUAUUUGGUUUUUCUGUUUAUUUUGGUUUAUCUGUUGAGGUUAAUAACAUUUUUUUAAAGUUCAGUUCUGUCAUCAAAAACUAGAGAAAUGGGCUACAUGUUUUAUGUUUGUUAAAAAAGUGUAAUAUUUGUUAAUUUUGCCAAGGUUUUUUUUUAAAGUGUGUAAGGUUAGCUACGGUAGAACAAGAACUGUGAAUUAAUAGAUUUUAAUACUGAUUUUUUUUUGUGCUUAAUUUUCCCAGUAAUUCAUUUGUAAUAUAUAUAUUAUUCCAUAAUGUAUAUUAUUCUUUUAAAAACUUUUGUAAUAUCAUUUAAAAGAAAUUCAUUCAUGUAAAUUGUGUAAUUUAUUUAUGCAUUAUUUUUAAAAUUUUAUUUAUCUUGUAUAAUUUUGCAUCUUGAGUGAAAUAUGUUUACAAUCCUUAACAUAUUUAUUUUCCAGUUGAUAAGAAUUUUUCCUUAACUUAAUAAUGUCAAUUUUACAAGUGUAAUGGUUUAUGAUUUAAAAUGAUACAUUAUAAGAUCAAAGAGUCAUAUAUAAAAAGUAAGCUAAUUUCAUUUUUGAAAUUUAACUAUGUAAUAUUAUGUCAGCAAGGAUAUGAUAUUGCUUAAAAGGUGACUUGUACUCUUCUAUUAGAAUUGCAUAAAUUGCAUUUUUUUGCCUCAUUCAUAUUGUGGACACUAACUUUAUUAUGUCAUCUAAUUGAUUACUUCAUAUUUUUUUUACAAAUCAUAUUACAGUUUCAGAAUGUCUUAUCUAUUGUCUUGAUGAAGAUGGUAAAAAUCUUUAUUGCAAGACACAUUUCUACCACUAAGCCAGGGAUUGAAUUCUUCAAAGACUGAGCAGUUUUAUAGAAGAGUUAAAGUUUAUCACUGUAGUUUUUGUUCAUAUAUCACCGAUUAUAAAACUAAUUUAAAAAAUCAUGAAUUAACUCACAGUGGUUUUCGUCCUUUCAAAUGCUCAAUCUGUGACAAAGGAUUUACUCAAAAAGGCAAUAUGAAAACCCACUUACUUAGACAUCAUACAAAGUCAGAUCAAUAGACAUUUAUGGCUUUACAAAUUUUGCAAUUUGUAAGUUUUAAUGAGUGAAAAAAAUUAAUAU